CUACUCCGGCGUUCUUGUCGGGCGAGUGUGGUGCUGAAAAGUCGCUUAUCCGGGAUCCCUGCGAGAUCUCUGAGGGAUGAGCUGGCGUCCCAGGCUGGCCAUGUGGCGCGAAGUAUGCGCACAAAAAAGUCAAACAAGAAGGCGCAAUUUUAUUACGGGCAACCCACGACGAAACAAAACAAAAGCCAGCCGAAAAGCAGAAACAAAGCAACAAAAAGUUUAUGAAUUUUUUGUGCAGGCGCGUGAAAGAUGCAAAACGAGAAAAAAACAUAAAAAAACAAAAAAUCCAAAACAGAUACCGAGCUGUAUCCGAAAACGAGAGGGGAAAGGCGUUUCCCAGUCACAUAUAAACACACUUCAGUGCGCUUAAAAAUUGCUUUAUUGCAGUUGGACUAUAAAAACGCACGGCAGCGAACACCGCAACACAAAAAGGACGAGUUGAAGUGGGCAAAUAAAAGGAAAGCUCUUAAACGAAAAACAGGAAAAUUUGCAUGCCACAAAAAUAAGCAUAAGGAUUUGCCGCGCACAAAAAGGAAUUGCCCAAAUGCAGCCACAAAAGACUGUGGCAAAUGUUUUGCAGCUUGCCGCUUUUUCCCUGCAAUUACCGUCAGUCGUUGUCAUUAUUCAGCAGAUUAUAUGGUUUUGCUUAUUCCGGACCACCAUCAUCAUUAUUAUCAUCAUCAUCAUCGGUAAGUUAGACAAUCCCAUUAAAACUGUCCCAGUGAGUAGUGCCACCAAAAGUUAGCCGCGUUGUGGAAAAUCCAAAACAAGGACCAUCCCAUCUUCAGCCUUUGAGAGUUCCAUGCUUCCUUGCAUUCAAUAGUUAUACUCAAGCAUAUGGAAUGUAAAGAAGUAUGGAGCGAAAUCUGGCGAGACAUCGGAGUUGAAACUGAAAUUUAAUUGAAUCAGAAGUUGAACCUCAAUAUAAAAUUUUCCAUGGAAAUGGAAAUGGAAAUGGAAAUUAAAACCAACCCGUUUCUACGAUCCCUGAAUAAAAUUAUUAAUUAAUUAUAGAGCGGGCUAAUUUUACAACAUAUAUUGAGUUUUUCUUUUUUUAAAUGUUAAAAGUAUCUACCACCCACAAAUACCAUUCCACCACAAGCAUUAAGUGAAAUGAAAUAUGAAAAUGAUUAAAUAUCACUAAGCCACCCACAGAUUCGGCAAAAAGCAGAAACCACGCACACAGAUGGAAAAAGAAACAGGCAGCAGAAUAAAUAUUAAAUAUGAACAUCAAUUUAAAUACUUUGCUGAUGAAAAAUGCAAGUGAGCCAUGCUAAAAAUAGCAAGUACGUAAGCAAUUCUAUCGACAACAAACAUUCGAGAUAUUUUCAAAAAUAUUUUCGUGUAUUUGAAGAGCACACACAUGUGGGCCCUGGUGUAUAAAUAUACAAAUGGGAUUUUGUGUAAUACGGAUCGCAUUUCGCCUUCUGUCUGUCCGACGUUGUUUAAAAAUAAAUCCAUUCGGACUUUGGGCGUUUAGUUUAGUUGCGCGGAGUACGGGGCCCGCUAUUAAAUAACACUCGGGCUUCAGGCCACGCAGAGCCAGUUCGAAUUGCAGUUAAGCACCCGGGCAGCCGGGUGGAGCACAGUAAGCCCUCGGAACAGAAACAUGUGGAUCCAUGUGCGCCAAAGUGGAUUUACCAACUUGAAAUUAUCGCCGAGCAUGUGGCGCCAUCCAGCGGCGGUGGGCGGCACCUCGCUCCGCGGAACGCAAGCAACUGCGGGAUGGAAAGACGACGUGCACAGCAUGUGCAGAAUGGUGCAUAUGCCAGCCCCUCGCAGCCCUUUUCCUUGUCUCUUUCCCCAUUUUCCAUUUUCCAUUUCCCGGCCCGCUUUUCCUCAGCUCUGCGGAGCGCAUUAAGAGCAAAGGCAAAGUGCGCUAAAUUGAUGAGCGUCACGUGCGUUUUGCUCACUCGGUGCCCGCCCCCUUGCAGCGGUGUCAUCCGACGAGAGUGGGCGUGGUCGGCGUCAGUGCUGAUCGAGUUAAUGAAUCGCGAGUAGAGCCAUACACCUCAGGUUUUCCCGGAAAAUGGAACACAUAUUCCCUAGGAUUAAAACAAUAACGAUCACAUUUUGAGUUUCGAAAUAUUUGUUUUCAAUUUAUCCAAAAUUAAAGAAAAACUUUUACAUGAA